rnacentral:rRNA from 1 species
GAUGAACGCUGGCGGCGUGCCUAAUACAUGCAAGUCGAGCGAACAGACGAGGAGCUUGCUCCUCUGACGUUAGCGGCGGACGGGUGAGUAACACGUGGAUAACCUACCUAUAAGACUGGGAUAACUUCGGGAAACCGGAGCUAAUACCGGAUAAUAUAUUUAACCGCAUGGUUCAUUAGUGAAAGACGGUUUUGCUGUCACUUAUAGAUGGAUCCGCGCCGCAUUAGCUAGUUGGUAAGGUAACGGCUUACCAAGGCAACGAUGCGUAGCCGACCUGAGAGGGUGAUCGGCCACACUGGAACUGAGACACGGUCCAGACUCCUACGGGAGGCAGCAGUAGGGAAUCUUCCGCAAUGGGCGAAAGCCUGACGGAGCAACGCCGCGUGAGUGAUGAAGGUCUUCGGAUCGUAAAACUCUGUUAUUAGGGAAGAACAAAUGUGUAAGUAACUAUGCACGUCUUGACGGUACCUAAUCAGAAAGCCACGGCUAACUACGUG